rnacentral:rRNA from 1 species
CCUACGGGUGACAGCAGUGGGGAAUAUUGCACAAUGGGGGAAACCCUGAUGCAGCGACGCCGCGUGAGUGAAGAAGUAUUUCGGUAUGCAAAGCUCUAUCAGCAGGGAAGAAAAUGACGGUACCUGUUUAAGAAGCCCCGGCUAACUACGUGCCAGCAGCCGCGGUAAUACGUAGGGGGCAAGCGUUAUCCGGAUUUACUGGGUGUAAAGGGAGCGUAGACGGCAGCACAAGUCUGGAGUGAAAUGCCGGGGCUUAACCCCGGAACUGCUUUGGAAACUGGGCAGCUAGAGUGCAGGAGAGGUAAGUGGAAUGCGUGGUGUAGCGGGGAAAUGCGUAGAUAUUAGGAGGAACACCAGUGGCGAAGGCGGCUUACUGGACUGUAACUGACGUUGAGGCUCGAAAGCGUGGGGAGCAAACAGGAUUAGAUACCCCUGUAGUC